UACGUAGGUGGCAAGCGUUGUCCGGAUUUACUGGGCGUAAAGGGCGUGCAGGCGGUCUGUUAAGUGCAGGGUGAAAGCUCCCGGCUCAACUGGGAGAGGUCCUUGCAUACUGGCGGACUUGAGGGGGGUAGAGGAAAGUGGAAUUCCCGGUGUAGUGGUGAUAUGCAUAGAUAUGUCACAGAACACCAAUUGCGAAGGCAGCUUGCUAUGGUAUAAUUGACGCUGAGGCACGAAAGCGUGGGGAUCAAACAGG
rnacentral:rRNA from 1 species